CAGUCGCCGCGGUAAUACGGAGGGGGCUAGCGUUGUUCGGAAUUACUGGGCGUAAAGCGCGCGUAGGUGGUUUGUUAAGUUGGAUGUGAAAGCCCCGGGCUCAACCUGGGAACUGCAUCCAAAACUGGCAAGCUAGAGUACGGUAGAGGGUGGUGGAAUUUCCUGUGUAGCGGUGAAAUGCGUAGAUAUAGGAAGGAACACCAGUGGCGAAGGCGACCACCUGGACUGAUACUGACACUGAGGUGCGAAAGCGUGGGGAGCAAACAGGAUUAGAGACCCCCGUAGUCCCUGUCUCUUAUAC
rnacentral:rRNA from 1 species